UAAUAAACUAAUUUAUAAUCCUGUCCAUCCUUGUCACUGCCAACGAAAACCUCAACAUCUUCAGCUCUGCUAUCUCCAGCUCCACCUCCUGUAGUUUUGUCAAACAAACACAAUGGGACUACCCACUAAAAAAGUGACCUGGUGAUCUGCAUGUGGAUGGAAAAUCUGGGCAUAUUUUACAUCUUCUAGCAGGUGGCUUCAAAACAGGGAGAGAGAGAAAAGGACCAGACAUAGUAUCAGAUAAAUGUUUAUAGGAAUAAAGAUUUUUAUGCAAUCUUCAUAUCUUCUAUAUUUAACAUUUUUUUAAAUAUAAACUCUGAACACAUAUGGCUUUGUCAGGACAGUGAGGACAGGAGCAGAGCGACGCCCUCUGCGGAGAUCAGAGGCCGAGCGACACCCUCAUCGGAGAUCAUAGGCUGACCGACGCCCUCGGCGGAGAUCAGAGGCCGAGCGACACCCUCGGCAAAGAUCAGAAGCAGAGCAACGCCUUCGACAGAGGUCAGAGGCUGACUGGUGCCCUCGGUAGGACUCAGGAGCACAGUGGAGCGGAGCACUUGACGGAACACUGGAGCGGAGUGAUGCGCUUGGCGGAAAACUGGAGCGGAGCGCUCGGCGAAACACUAGAGGGGAGCAGCGUGCUCAGUGGAACACUAGAGUGUAGCGGCGCGCUCGGCGGAACACUGGAACGGAGCGGCACCCUCGGCGUAGCACUGGAGCGGACCGUCGCACUUGGCAAAACACUGGAGCUGAACGGCGCGCUCUGCGGAACACUGGGGCAAGCGAUGUGCUUGCCGGAACACUGGAGCGGAGUGGCCAUAAUACACCUUUGUAUUAUAUGCAGUUUUCUUUCUUGAUAGAUACCCCUAUCUGAGUCUUUUCUCCAAAUUUUUUUUUUUAUGUUGAAUAUUAAACUCGAAAGUUUCAAAAUUUAAACUUCUAAAUUUCUAGUUUUAAACUCAGAAAUUCCCUGCCCCUCCCCUUUCAGUUUUUUUUAAAAUCCCAAAGUACCCCUAAUACGGUGUUGUAUGUUCGGUAUGUGUAAUUGAUAGUGGAAAAAAGGAAUGUUAUGGUCCCAUUAUUUUAUCCACUAUGCCAAAGUCAAACAGACGGAUUAUCAUGGCUGCGGAUACACACGAAGACCAGUCUAAAUGAUUAGUCAUUGGAUCAUGCACUUUGGGAAACAGCCCUAACUAAAAAAUUUAAAUUAUCCGCACCUAUUACUACACACCUCAACAAUGGAACUGAAACAAAUGGACAUUUAGUGCCGGUGGUUUCCUUUUUGAUUCUGGUUCCUCUCAAAGUUUCUUCCUCAUGCUAUUUCAUGGAGUUUUUCCUUGCUACAGUCAUCACUGGCUUGCCCAUCAGGUAUAAACAAUCUGAGACAAUGCUCAUAGUAAAAAGCAUGUUACAAAUAAAAUUUAAUUAAAUGUAA